AAUAAUAUACGCAGGAAGAAGGAAGGGCUGACCUAUAUUUCAGAUAUGGAAACUGAGCCCUCACACAUGGACUGAAUUCUGACAAGCAGAGGAUAAAGGCAGAACAACAUGACUCAAGGGAAGAUGCUUUUGUGAUAUAUCCCAGCAUGCUGAUGACCCCAAGGAGGACCACUGGAUACCUAGCAAGACUCGAACUUACACCAUUGACUCCCUUGGACUUGGAAGGGAAACACAUCUGGGUCUCCAGCUUGCAGAUGGUACAUGUUGGGACUUCUCAGUCUCCAGAAUCUCGAGCUGGCUGCAGCAUACCAUGAAUCCUCACAGCAACUUAAUGAGGAAAAGGAAGAACUGAUUGAAGAGUGGCAACCAGAACCUCUUGUUCCUCCUGUCCCAAAAGACCAUCCUGCGCUCAACUACAACAUCAUUUCAGGUUCCUCUGGCAGCCCUCCUCAAGGACCUCUGUGAGACAAAGUCAGAAAUGACUUCACUGGAGACCAAGAGAGCCCACAGAGCUCUUCCUGCUGCUUCUUCUACCCUUGUACUCACUCGGCUCUCUAAAUUUGUCUCAGCUCCAGGUAAGGUUGGAUCUUUAAAUUUGUCUCAGCUCCAGGUAAGGUCGCAUCUUUAAAUUUGUCUCAGCUCCAGGUAAGUUUGGAUCUUUCUCCCGUGAUUUGGACCUUCAGGUUCCCCACUGAGGGUGUGUGUUUGGGGAUGGAUCAUCCCUCUUUCACACUUUCACACUUUGGACACUCUCAGUUUUUCAAGUGUCUUGGAGCCUGUGGGAGCAAUGCACUUCCUUCAAAGGGUCUCUUGGCUUUCCUGGUAUAUUCCUGUGGUAGUUCUUGGAGCAAAAGUUCAUAAUAUGAGUCUCCACACACGAGUCUGCCUACUAAUCUUGAUUUGGUGUUGAAGGAAAUACAGUACAGAAAUUUGUAGAUAAAAUCAGAUGGCAGUAUGUGUCUUUUUAGCCUACUCCCCUGAAAAUGAGAUUCUUCUUUUCCAAAGUGAAGUAUGCUGUUUUCCAAAAGGAAACUUUUAUAACUUUUUAAAUGGUGAAAUACAACACAUGAAGAGAAAGAUGCAUAGGAAAUAAAUGCACAAUGUAAUGAAUAAUCAGAAAGUAAAUAUCCUUUUAACUACUACCUAAAUAAGGGAAUAGAUUGUUGUCUACACUGUAGAAGCAACCCCUUGCCCCAGGGUAUCCCUUUUCAAUCACAUUCUCUUUAUCCCUCUUAGAUUAAGACAUUGUCUUGAUAUGCACAUUACUUUCAUUCUUGAGAUUCUUUGUACUUUUAUUGCUUUUAUAUGUGGCCCUAAAUAAAAUGUCAAAUAUUAACUGGUUUUAAACUUUAUAUAAAUUCAUAAUUUAAAAAAGUCUCUCAAUAAAUAAUGUGUUUGUAAGAUUAAAUUAGGUUUAUUGUACCUAGCUCUAAUGAGUUAACUUUUCCUGUAGUAUAAAAUUCCACCAUAUUAAUAACCACAAUUUAUUUAUCCAUCCUAACAUUUUGAUAGCUUCAUGAAUGUUAGAAUUAUUUUCAGCUAUUGCAAAAAUUGCUACCAUGAACUUUCUUUUACAUGUUUCUAGGUAUGUGAAUACAUUUUUCUAGGUAUAUACGCAGAAAUGGAAUUGUUACUGUUUGGUCAUAGAAUAUUGUAUGGGAAAUGACACUUUUCUAAAGUGGUUUAAAGAUAAGUGUUGGUGAGAAUGUUGAGAAAGGGCACCUCAUACACUAUUGUUUGGAAUGUAAAUUAAUACAGUAAUCACAAGCCAAUUUUCAUUCAUACCAACCCUGCAUAACAGCUUCUUGCUUCAUAUCUUCACCAAUACUUGGUAUUGUCAGACUUUUAAAUUUAUUCAGUCGCAUGGAUUUGUAGAAGGACAUCACUGUAGUUUUAAUUUGCAUUUCAAGAUGGAAAUUGUGUACAUGAAUACUUGAAAUAAUAAAUAAAAUUAAAAAUGUCUUCAUAAUAUUGAUAAUUCCAGUAAAGACCUUUUCUAUUACUUGAAAUGGUUCAUUCAAGUCAUAUAACUAGCAGUAUAUUUGCUUAACUCAUCAGACAAAUCAAUUAAUAUUUUCUUGACUUGAUUUCAAGAUUACAUUCACAUAACCAAUGAAACAUAAACAAAUAUUUUCUAUUUGUUUGUAUAAAUAAGGGUAGUGGUAAUACUUCAUUUACUGCAUCUUCCAAUUUGAAACUUUGAAACCUUUGUUACUUGUUUACAGUUUUUUCACUGACAUCAUUGGUGAAAGAGAGCUGAAUGUUAUAUUCAGUGUAUUCUGUCCACAAGCUUUGGUUUAAAGUACAAUAGAAAUAUCUCUCAUUCUCCCACAAAGUCUCCUAACACGUGCUAGCAUUCUCACUGUUGAAUAGUAUUGCAAAGGCAGAAUGUAGCAUAGUUGAUAUAAAUACUAAGCAAAGAAAAGACACAGAGCUUGUGGUUUGAGCUAAAAGAGUGAUUUUUAUCUCUGUGGAGGAUGCCAAACAAAACCAUCCCAAUCCUUGGUAAGAAAUGGUAAUAUUAAUGAAAAGUAUAUUUUCUAUCAUGUUUUAUACUUGCUAUUUAGAUUAUGAUAUUUUUUCACAAAAAUUAGUAAUCACAGUUCCUCCAAAAGACCAUUAAGUGGUCUAUCAGAGACAGAAUUUUGGUAAACACUAGUAAGGUAGAAAGUGCCGAUGAUGAAGAGCUGAUGACAAGGAUUUUAAGACUGACUUGGCCCUGCAGCUUACUGACCAUCUGGGGGAAUCAUUAAUGCUUCUGAGUUUCUAUUUCUUCAUCUGGAAAAUAGUCCUUGUUACAGCUGCCCUGAUUUUCUCAUGGUUUGUCUAGAUAAGUUAAUAUGAAAACAUAUUUAAAGACCAGUCUGCUUCCAGCUGUGAUGGAGUAACUUGUAUCAGACCCACUGUUCUAUAAGAGAAUUUUGAAAGUUGGCUACGGCACAAAACCAUCUACAAAAACAAUCAAAAUAAAACCCAAACAAACACCAAAACCAAUGCUGUUUUUGAAGGCACUGGAGACCAACCUAAACAGCCAGAACAUGAGGGACCAAGAUUUAGAGAAAAGGGAACCAUAGAAAAGUGUAGGAAAUUUCCCCUCAAGACAUUUUGAGACCCACUAAUCAGUAAUUAAGCAGAGCAAGAUUCUAAGAAAAUAAGUAUAAAGCAACUAUUAAAAAGCUAAGCAGAGAUUAUCACAGCUUUGGGAUUUGCUAAAGGCCUUAAUAAACACUCUUGGAUUUUAGUGGCAAACCCUGAAAGCUUACUCCCUAGGAGUGCUAGAAAACCAGAAAUAGACUAGUCUUUACUGGAUCAAGGAGAAAUACUUGUAUUCUAAUGUCUGACAAAUAAAAAUGAAAUUCCCUCUAGGGUAGAUAACAUUACCUAGGACCACUAGGAUUUUCAUGCACGUUAUUUAUCAUUCAUUCAAAGACUUCCAGGAUGCCAGGAAAAAUAACCAAAUCUACAAAAAUCGGGAGAAAAUAGAAACAGAUCCGUAAGUCAUGCAGCUGUUGGGACUAAGUGAUAUGAACAUUAAAAUAAUUAUGAUUAAUGUGUGCAAGGAAAAUAGGGAAGGUGGAUAAUUGCACAGCAAAUUAAGAAACUAUAAAAAUAACAAAAUAGGAAUCUUUAUAAUUAAUGUAAUUUAACAGCAGAUUAGACUCAUAAGAAAAGGAUUCAUAUAUAAGAAGAUAGGUUAGUAGAAAAUAUUUAGAUUG